rnacentral:rRNA from 1 species
GACGAACGCUGGCGGCGUGCUUAACACAUGCAAGUCGAACGGAAAGGCCCUGCUUUUGUGGGGUGCUCGAGUGGCGAACGGGUGAGUAACACGUGAGUAACCUGCCCUUGACUUUGGGAUAACUUCAGGAGACUGGGGCUAAUACCGGAUAGGAGCUCCUGCUGCAUGGUGGGGGUUGGAAAGUUUCGGCGGUUGGGGAUGGACUCGCGGCUUAUCAGCUUGUUGGUGGGGUAGUGGCUUACCAAGGCUUUGACGGGUAGCCGGCCUGAGAGGGUGACCGGCCACAUUGGGACUGAGAUACGGCCCAGACUCCUACGGGAGGCAGCAGUGGGGAAUAUUGCACAAUGGGCGGAAGCCUGAUGCAGCAACGCCGCGUGCGGGAUGACGGCCUUCGGGUUGUAAACCGCUUUCGCCGGUGACGAAGCGUGAGUGACGGUAAUGGGUAAAGAAGCACCGGCUAACUACGUG